CGUAGGGUGCGAGCGUUAAUCGGAAUUACUGGGCGUAAAGUGUGCGCAGGCGGCUCCGCAAGUCGAGUGUGAAAUCCCCGAGCUUAACUUGGGAAUUGCGCUCGAAACUACGGAACUGGAGUGUGGCAGAGGAAGGUGGAAUUCCACGUGUAGCGGUGAAAUGCGUAGAGAUGUGGAGGAACACCGAUGGCGAAGGCAGCCUUCUGGGCCAACACUGACGCUCAUGCACGAAAGCGUGGGGAGCAAACAGGAUUAGAUACCCUGGUAGUCCACGCCCUAAACGAUGAUGACUAGUUGUUGGAGGAGUUAAAUCCUUUAGUAACGCAGCUAACGCGUGAAGUCAUCCGCCUGGGGGAGUACGGUCGCAAGAUUA
rnacentral:rRNA from 1 species